rnacentral:rRNA from 1 species
ACGCUGUCAAAGAGCUGAGAUAUCGUAGCGUCAGGCAUCCCAGUCUUAGCCAAGGCGUAAUGCAUUGGGUCCAUGUAAACAUUAGGAGGUACCACAAUGCAUCGAGUGGCACGAUACACCGCAUGCCGGCGGUAAGUGGCGUCCAUCCAAGCUCGAGGCAGCUUGUACAUCUGCCGAAGAUAAGCCGGUUGAACUUGAAUAGUAGCUAGAAGGUCUUCGUGCGAGCUGAAGUGUUGCACAUCUUGGGCAACAAACUCCGCAAUAAGCGCGUCCAACUCCUGUACCGAAAGCUGUUGACGCUUUGGAUUAAGCUUGCGCACCUCCAUAAGCACGUGUAAUGCUUGGCGGGGAACAAGAUUGGUAUCCUCCGUGAAUCCAGCAACGUUGUUACCGUCUUCAUCGUAGACCUUGAUAUCUACAUCAGGAGGUUGAGCCUCAUCAUGGGCGAAGUCGGUUAGCACCUCAUAGGUGUUGAAGACGUCCACCAUCGUGUGGUACGUCAAUGUUGACGGUUCGGCCGCAUCAGUAGCGAGCGUGCAAGGUGUUAGUCCGUCGGGUUGCGCAACCGGUCCGGCGGCUUGCGUGAUACCACGACGCGACGCUUGCACCAAUUGCCACUCUGGUGCCGUAGCCGGGACAGAAUCCAGAAUUAGGCGCUUCGUAGUUGCGUGUGCGUGCGUAGAAGCGGGGUGAGAGCCAGACUUAGGCUGGGGUAACGUGCUGGCACUUGAAGUAGAAGAAGAAGCGCGAAGAACGCUUCCAAGCGGCGGACUUGAGGCAGAUGCGUUUGGAAUCUCAGGCUCAUUGUCGGGCGACGACAAAUCAACAUGGACUCUUGGUGCAGUUGCGUCACCAUCCGUCAUAGUGGCGUCAUUAUCUUGGUCGUCAACUCUCGUUGUCGGAGGGGGAGAACCUUGACGGAGCGACGGGGGUUUGACUCGGUUAUAUUUGCGAAGCCGGUGCUGAACGAAGCAUGGCUUGUCAUUGGGGUCCAGGUAUAUUUCCCGAAGAGGCUCGCCGCCUGGUAGCAAAAGACCAGCGGGGCAGUUUACUGCGUCGAAGUAAAUCGUCCGAUCGCGCGACUUGAGCUCACCGGCGACAAAAGUUGGUGUUAUAAGCACCGGGCGUGCACCUUGUGCCACAAACCAUUCGUAGAUCACGCGAUCCGGUACAUCUCCGGGGAGCCGGGUAAGGUCGACAUAGUAUAGUUUGUCGUACUUCGAAUACUUGCGAAUCUUCACUCGUAUUCCGCAUACAGUCAACACUAGCCCACCCAAAGAGUAUAGGGCCGCGUCCGAGGUGCAGAGAAAAGAAAUUCCUUGACGGGGAAUCCGAACAAAGUCGCGCAACGAAGCCUUAUGAGAUUGCCAGAUCUCAGGCUGGUGAUCCCCCGCCAAUGAUUGGAGGAUCUCGUCGGUACUAUGUUCCGUCGUCAAUUGCGCCGCGGGAAUCCACAUACGCGUGCAUUCUGAUGCGGAGACAGGCGUGGGCAACUGGGAACUGGCCUUAAAGUAGCGAUCGUCGUCGGAGGAACUUACGUCACCAAGCAACGAGUAGCUAGCCGUGAAUAGACUAUCGUCGGGGACGAAACGACGGGGCGGCGACGGGCGACGCGUAGUCGAAUCAGAAGCUUGCGCUGAAGGGCGCGGAGGGUGUGGUGUUUGAGAGUUAACAACCACAGUCAUAGUAGUAGUAAGUAGGUAGCUGUUACUGCGUCUCUAGUGUCGUAGGACACCCAAGCAAACACUAGUCAAAAGGUACCUCAAUACCCGGACAAGGUGUAAGUGCAGCCUACUUAGGCAAUCAAAAGCAGUGUUCCUAGCUCGAUCAGCUCUAAUCGAACGUAGGUUUUCAGUGAUCAAAAGCAAGGUCGGCCUAGCGCUCUUGCAAGAGAUCACACCACCACUUAGGAAGCUUAGUAGUUUAGGCAAACCUAGUCAAUCUCCUUGCGGAAAAGACUUAGCGCACGCUCAAGCACACUCAGCAGGGAUGAGCCAACAGUCAAAGACCGAAGGCGCCUAACUGUCUGAGUGGUAGAGGAUCGGUUUAACUCCGCGUCCGAUUCGGCAACGACAAACAGCACUCCGCGAAGAGUGAAGAUGUCGGGGACGGCGAGGACGGCGGUGUCGUGGGGCGGCGGUAACACUCUGUGAUGAGUGGAACGGCGGUAGCUGGUCGGCGGUGUGCAGACGGGGCGAGGUCGAGAACGAUGUGUGCUCGAGGUGGAAAAAUCCGGAAUGGGGGAGUUUGGCUGGGGCGGCACAUCUGUUAAAUGAUAACACAGGUGUCCUAAGGUGAGCUCAAUGAGAACAGAAAUCUCAUGUAGAACAAAAGGGUAAAAGCUCACUUGAUUUUGAUUUUCAGUAUGAAUACAAACCGUGAAAGCGUGGCCUAUCGAUCCUUUAGUACUUUCGAAUUUUAAGCUAGAGGUGUCAGAAAAGUUACCACAGGGAUAACUGGCUUGUGGCAGCCAAGCGUCCAUAGCGACGUUGCUUUUUGAUUCUUCGAUGUCGGCUCUUCCUAUCAUUGCGAAGUAGAACUCGCCAAUUGUUGGAUUGUUCACCCACUAAUAGGGAACGUGAGCUGGGUUUAGACCGUCGUGAGACCGGUUAGUUUUACCCUACUGAUGAGUUCGUUGUCUAAACAGUAAUCCAACCCAGUACGAGAGGAACCGUUGGUUCAGAUAAUUGGUAACUGCGGUUAGCUGAAAAGCUAGUGCCGCCAAGCUACCAUCUGUCGGAUUAUGGCUGAGCGCCUCUAAGUCAGAAUCCAUGCUGGAAUAGACGAUAAUCACCUUUCCUGAUGUAACGCGAAUAGCGAUAGGUGUCCUUUGGACACCCAACAUCAGACAAUUGCAACGAAACUCGCUAUCUGUCAAAUAUCGAUAGU